rnacentral:rRNA from 1 species
UACGUAGGGUGCGAGCGUUAAUCGGAAUUACUGGGCGUAAAGCGUGCGCAGGCGGUUCGUUGUGUCGGCGGUGAAAGCCCCGGGCUUAACCUGGGAAUGGCCGUCGAAACUGGCGAACUGGAGUGUGGCAGAGGGGGGUGGAAUUCCGCGUGUAGCAGUGAAAUUCGUAGAUAUUCGGAAGAACACCAGUGGCGAAGGCGGCUCACUGGACUGGUAUUGACGCUGAGGUGCGAAAGCGUGGGGAGCAAACAGG